rnacentral:rRNA from 1 species
GAAAGAUGAAAAGAACUUUGAAAAGAGAGUUAAACAGUACGUGAAAUUGUUGAAAGGGAAACGAUUGAAGCCAGUCGUACUGACGGGAAAUCAACUUCUCGAGUGCUUGUCGUGAAUGACGUUGAGCUUCACGGCCUUCGUUGCUUGCGUUAUGGUGCUUUUGAGGUGUACUUUUCCGUAUGGUAAGUCAACAUCGAUUUUGAUCGUCAUAAAAUGAUCGGAGGAAUGUGGCUCUGAUCUUGUAUUGGAGUGUUAUA